GGCCUUUUGAUGAUAAUUUAAGGUCUGACCUGCCCAAUGAUGUAUUAAAUGGCCGCGGUAUCUUGACCGUGCAAAGGUAGCAUAAUCAUUAGUUUUUUAAUUGGAAGCUUGUAUGAAGGGUUUAAUGAAAAAAUAGCUGUCUCUAUUUAAAUUUUUUAGAAAUUUAUUUUUAAGUUAAAAAGCUUAAAUGAACAUUAAAGACGAGAAGACCCUAUAGAGUUUUAUAGUUUUAUGGAGUCAUUAUGUUUUGGAAUUUUUUAAUGAUUGUUUAAUAUUAUUUGGUUGGGGUGAUUGAAAAAUUAGAAAAACUUUUUUGUAUUUAAUUUCACUGAUUUGUGAAUUUUUGAUCUUUAUUAAAGAUUAACAGAUAAAAUUACCUUAGGGAUAACAGCGUAAUUUUUUUUAGAGUUCUUAUCGAAGAAAGAGAUUGCGACCUCGAUGUUGGAUUAAAAUAAAUUGUUGGUGAAGAAGCUAAUAAGCUAGGUCUGUUCGACCUUUAGAUUUUUACAUGAUCUGAGUUUAAACCGGUGUGAG
rnacentral:rRNA from 1 species